rnacentral:lncRNA from 1 species
UUGCUUGUAUAUAGGAUUGACUCAUGCAAAAGCAAUUUAAUUACAAGUGCAUAUAAACUUCAGGCAUCAUUGACGCAUCCAAGUAGAUUAUGAAUUGAGAUCCAUUGGAUCCUAUGAUACAUGAUAUGCUUGACUCAAAAGCGGUAGCUAAAGCAUAUUGGAUGGCAAUCCACGAUGAUCCUCAUCAUGAUCCAUGAUAUAUGAAACAAAUGUCGAAAUAUAAACAAUGUCGAAAUAUGCC